UCGGAUGUGGUGUAUGGUGCACGCCCACUUGUGUUGCUAAGUCGUUAUUGCAUCUGUGGGAAGCCUGGGUUCAACUCCCAGCGUUCGAA